rnacentral:tRNA from 1 species
GCCUGGGUGGCUCAGUCGGUUAAGCGUCUGACUUCGGCUCAGGUCAUGAUCUCACGGUUCGUGGGUUUGAGCUCCACAUUGGGCU